CCUCGGAACCCCCGGCCCGGGCGGUCGGCGCGCGCGGAGGACAGACGGCCCGGGCGGCGGGCGCGGCAGCGGCUUCUCCCGGCUCCCCGUCCCGCGCACCUCAAGGGGCGCGGGGCUCUGGACGCGGGGGCGGAGGGGGCUCUGCGCGGGGCUGGGCUGGGCUGGCCGACUCCGGCGCCGGGGACCACGCGCGACUGGUUAGAUCUUGUCCUGAUCUCUGGAAAACUGUGACUAUCUCACAUGUCCUGCCCUGUUCGGAUCCCCUGCGCUAACGAGCCAGGCCCCCCUUGAUUGCUGAUUUUACGCUUUUUGGACCAAUUGUGGGUCUCCGGGGGCGGGGUUUUGACAGCUCAGGCCAAGCUCUGGACGGGAGGGGGGGCCAGGGAGAAGGUGUCGGAAGCCUCAGCAGUAAGAAAACAUGUCAACAGAAUAAAAUAUUAACCAAUGACGGGCCGGCGGGCCCCGAGACCCCUCCCCCUGGCCUGGCCCCCACCUCGUCGUCCGCGCCGGCCGCUGCCUGGGCGAGGGCUGGAAAGCGCAGAGGGCCGAUCUGACCCGCCGAAAGGGCCUGAGGCAGGGGGCGCCCGGAUCCCAGGGCCUUGGGGAAGGACCCCUAGCCGCAUGCCGGCCCCAAGUGCAAAGCAUUGACACGUUCGGGAGAGGAGAGGGGGCGCCCUUUCCCUCCCGCGCCGGGAGUCCCGGCCGCUUUGGCCUGCGCCCCAGCCUGGCCUCCCACCCCAGCUCCCGGGCACCGCCCCGGGUCCAUGCACUUCGGAGGGAGGCUGCGGGCACUGGAAAGCGAGGCCGGUGGGCGGGCAAGUCAGGAGGCUCGGGCGACCGAGGUCCCGGAGCCGAAAUCAGGUGGCCGGAGCCGGUAUAAAUUCCCUGGCAUCACCGAACUGCUGAUCACAGCCUGCCACCCUGUCUGGCCUCACUGGUGUUUCCUGUUUGAAUGAGGAGCUUGCUAUGGACAGCUUUUGGCCACUGGGCCCCAACCUGCCUGCUUAUCUGCCUGAGCUUUCCAAGUCAGAAGCUGAAGGGAAGACUCUCAGAACCAGGCAGACCUUGAUGAGAGGAUACUGCCAUAGCAGGUGGAGUCUCCAGCAUAGGAGUCCUUAAGUCCGUCCCCCUGUUUAGAGUAAGGUUGGUACAGACUACUGUGUGCAGUGUCCAGGGUGUGCACAUCAUGAGGGGAAGCAAGUGCUCCCAUAUUUCCUGUUUUGCUCCUAAUAGGAGAUGAGAAAAUUAGACCCAAGGGGGAAGGCCACGUGUGUUCUUCCAUUUUUUUUAAUUCAAAUCAUCAGAAGAGAAACUGAUUUUCCCAGUAGCAGCAACUGGCAUUGGGAGUUGAAGGGACUCUCAAGACUUGGUCUUUGCUCCUGCUGGAAAAUAACUGGGCACAGGUGCUAGGACACUGAGCUGGGCACUGAGCUGGGGACAGGCGCUAGGAUAUUCACUGAGCUGGGACACUGAUAUCAACAGCUAUGGCCACCCUGAGGCUGCAGCUCCCCACAACCCCCCCCCCCCGCUGUGUUCUCUACUGUAUGGGCCACUCUGGCCUGCAGUGGGGACAGGGCUCUAUAUGGCAGCCCUGGCCUCUAGGCACUGUUCUCUUCUCUCACUCAAUCAAGGAUCUGUGGCUGCAGAGUCCACAGUUUUGUCAUUAGACCUGUUGGGUCUGUAUGUGAAGUGUCCAAUGGAGGCCCUCACUGUGGACAUGUGGUUCUCCAGCCAGUGGUGCUGUUUUGGGAGGUGGGUCCUAGCUAGAGGAAGUGGAUCAUUCUGGUUUUCUGUUCCACAGGAGGUAAAGGAGCUUCUCUUCCAUCCACCCUGGCCACAAAGAUGUUCUGGGAGCAACCAUGGACUGAACCCUCUGAAAUCACGAGCCAAAAUAAACCUCUCUUUCCAUUGUUCUCCAGCAAUCAGAAAUCUAA
rnacentral:sRNA from 1 species